AACCAUCCUUAAAUGGAAUUGCACAGCAGUGACUUUAGAGUUUUGAACAUCCAUCAAAGUCAUUACAUGUUCAACUGAGAAGCUCAGAACCUAAGAAUGAUUACUAUUUAGUAAUCAAAUACCCUUUGGCUAGUCAACCUAUGAUGUGGCUGGGAGAAGGAAGAGGAAGUUUCAAGAAAGCAGCCUCUUGAGAUGACUUCUUCUAAUGUACUGUAGUCUCCAUCUUGGUAAGCCAUGAUUUCAUCUUUAUCUUCCUGCCAUGAGAUGAUAACCUGAAGAAGUCUCUCUCCUCAAAAGGUCUGACACUCAUGAUCUCAACUGAAUUUUUCCAGAUGACCACUCUCAAGAGGAGGAAUCCAAUUCUUUGCUUGACUUGAUAAAAGACAUUGACCCUAAAUGAGUUGUUCUUAUAAUAUAAUUCUGCUGCAAAAGUGUCUGCUCACUUAAAAAUAAAUUCUUAUUUGUGAUUUCCAAA